AUGUUGUUAGACAACGGUGAACCUUCGAACUAUGAAGAAGCGAUGGCGGGCCCGGAUUCCGACAAAUGGCUAGAAGCCAUGAAAUCCGAGAUAGAAUCCAUGUAUGAAAACAAAGUAUGGACUUUGACUGACUUGCCCGAUGAGCGGCGAGCCAUAGAAAACAAAUGGAUCUUUAAGAAGAAGACGGACGCGGAUGGUAAUGUGACCAUCUACAAAGCUCGACUUGUCGCUAAGGGUUAUCGACAAGUUCAAGGGGUUGACUACGAUGAGACUUUCUCACCCGUAGCGAAGCUGAAGUCCGUCCGAAUCAUGUUAGCAAUUGCCGCAUACUAUGAUUAUGAGAUAUGGCAGAUGGACGUCAAAACGGCAUUCCUUAACGACUUCCUUAAGGAAGAGUUGUAUAUGAUGCAGCCGGAAGGUUUUGUCGAUCCUAAGAAUGCUAACAAAGUGUGCAAGCUCCAGCGCUUAAUCUAUGGGCUGGUGCAAGCAUCUCGGAGUUGGAAUAUUCGCUUUGAUGAGAUGAUCAAAGCGUUUGGGUUUACACAGACUUAUGGAGAAGCCUGUGUUUACAAGAAAGUGAGUGGGAGCUCCGUAGCAUUUCUCAUAUUAUAUGUGGAUGACAUACUAUUGAUGGGAAAUGAUAUAGAAUUCUUGGAAAGUAUAAAGGCCUAUUUGAAUAAGUGUUUUUCAAUGAAGGACCUUGGAGAAGCUGCUUAUAUAUUAGGCAUCAAGAUCUAUAGAGAUAGAUCAAGACGCCUCAUUGGUCUUUCACAGAGUACAUACCUUGACAAGAUAUUGAAGAAGUUCAGUAUGGAUCAGUCCAAGAAGGGGUUCUUGCCUGUAUUGCAUGGUGUGCAAUUGAGCACGGCUCAAUGCCCGACCACGGCAGAAGAUAUAGAAGAGAUGAGUGUCAUCCCCUAUGCCUCGGCCAUAGGGUCUAUUAUGUAUGCCAUGCUGUGUACCAGACCUGAUGUAAACCUUGCCGUAAGUUUGGUAGGAAGGUACCAAAGUAAUCCCGGCAAGGAACACUGGACAACGGUCAAGAAUAUCCUGAAGUACCUGAAGAGGACUAAGGAUAUGUUUCUCGUUUAUGGAGGUGACGAAGAGCUCGUCGUAAAGGGUUACGUCGACGCUAGCUUCGACAUAGAUCUGGAUGACUCGAAGUCACAAACCGGAUACGUGUAUAUUUUGAAUGAAGGAGCAGUAAGUUGGUGCAGUUGCAAGCAAAGCGUCGUGGCGGGAUCUACAUGUGAAGCGGAGUACAUGGCAGCCUCGGAGGCAGCACAGGAAGCAGUCUGGAUGAAGGAGUUCAUUACCGACCUAGGGGUGAUUCCCAAUGCGUCGGGCCCAAUGACUCUCUUCUGUGACAACACUGGAGCUAUUGCCCUUGCGAAGGAGCCCAGGUUUCACAGGAAGACCAGGCAUAUCAAGCGUCGCUUCAACUCCAUUCGUGAAAGUGUUCAAAAUGGAGACAUAGAUAUUUGUAAAGUACACACGGACCUGAAUGUAGCAGAUCCGUUGACUAAACCUCUCCCUAGGGCAAAACAUGAUCAACACCAGGACGCAAUGGGUGUUCGAUUCAGCACAAUGUAA
rnacentral:rRNA from 1 species